ACGGGAGGCAGCAGUGGGGAAUAUUGGGCAAUGGGCGCAAGCCUGACCCAGCAAUGCCGCGUGAAGGAAGAAGGCUUUCGGGUUGUAAACUUCUUUUAAGUGGGACGAUAAUGACGGUACCACUUGAAUAAGCUCCGGCUAACUACGUGCCAGCAGCCGCGGUAAUACGUAGGGGGCAAGCGUUAUCCGGAUUUACUGGGUGUAAAGGGAGCGCAGGCGGUAACGCAAGCCAGAGGUGAAAACCCGGGGCUCAACCCCGAGGAUUGCCUUUGGAACUGUGGAACUGGAGUGCUGGAGGGGCAGGCGGAAUUCCUGGUGUAGCGGUGAAAUGCGUAGAUAUCAGGAGGAACACCGGUGGCGAAGGCGGCCUGCUGGACAGUAACUGACGCUGAGGCUCGAAAGCGUGGGGAGCAAACAGGAUUAGAUACCCUGGUA
rnacentral:rRNA from 1 species